rnacentral:lncRNA from 1 species
UUACCAUGGGCGCUAUUAUAUUAUAACUGUGUGAGGUGAUUUAAAUUUUGCUGCUUGGACAAGCGCGUACUAUGAGCUUCGCAAGUUUCCUCAAGGUUUUCCUGCUCUUUCUUCUAUUCGUUCAAAUAAGCCUGUCUACCAAUUCAGGCGAGUUAUCCGUUGCCAAACCGAGAUGGUACUAUCUUCGUUGUGUUGAAUGUUACCGGCCAGAUGCUAAGGGAGAAGCAUGUGUGAAGAUACCAGGAUGCAUCAAAAAUAGCUCAUUUUUCCAAAAACUAAUGGCGUCUGGCUGGUUCUGAUGGACGGACUUUGUAGCUUAAUCUGUAAGCCACAUGACUCACUUCCUCCGCGCGUUUAUUCGCAAAAAAAAACGGGGAAGAACUUUAAUUAAACUUUAUUAUUAUUAACUGGACUGUUAUUAAAAGCCUCAGCAGAAUGUUCCGAUGAGGAUAUUGCGCAGCGACUGUAAUGUGAGCUAAUCUUUGCCUUAGCAUUUCUCCAAUAACAGCGGAGGCCAGCAUGUCAUGCAUUCCAUCCAGCAGGAGGGAAAAGUUACAAGUGAUAGCAAAAACAAUAAAAAAGGUCAUUCUCAAGAGGAAAGUUGACAUUAAGCAAGAAUUAUAAGGUCAAUGAAGGAAAAACUUGGUUCAGCAAGCUGAUCCGAUAUCUGGCAGGAUAUCCGUGACGAUUUUGGAAAGUGGAAUGAUGUCUUGGGAAUCAGGGGUGGGUUUUAGGUCAACCAUGAUUCAGCUGAAACACAUGCGAAGUGGAAGCAGGCGCAAAUCGAUUUUAGCUGGGAAAAUUCACUAAACUAUUUUUACAAGUUUUA